GCGUCAAGAAACCUCUCAUCAGGCGGGUAUCCAAGGUUAUGCGAGACCGGUCCUCGCAAGUGUCUCCCAUCGGUCAAAUGAGGCUUAUUAGCCUCGCUACUCCCCGUAACGAUCCCUCCCUUUCUUCCGUUCCGGUCGCUCCCUCCCUCGUCAUGGCCUUCGCAGCAACAAGAUUCCCCCAGGUUCUUUUAUUUAUCCCUGAAUUGGAUCUUGCAUUCCUUGUCUUUCCGUCGUGGGAAAGCAAUUUCUCGUGAUCGUUGGUUCCUUACGCUAAUUUGCUGGUCGAUUCGGUGCCAGAUAGUUUAGAUAUCAAGAAUGACUUAGAAGGAUGGGAAAAAUGGGAAAUAUUAGUCAGACAUGCCUGUUAAGCGCGAUUCUUGAUGGAAAUAUAUUCUAUGGGAAGAUGCAGUUGGUGGUGUAAGGGAAAGCGGUAAGAGAAUGAUUACAUGACUCCGAUGCACACAAGGGAAGAUAAUUCAGAAAGGCUGAUAAAAAAGUGCUUGCACAGAUUGAAAACCAUUAUUAUUUGUGAACAAAGGAUUUUCCCCUCUGAUUCAUACCUGUUUGAUAAUGUUGACAAGAUUCAGCAUAUCAGAAUUGUAGUUGUUCAGGUAUUUGUUGCUUCUUUUACACAGCUAAUGUGAUGCAGCACUUAGAACUGCUGGUUCACCAAGUGUUGUUACCAGAUGGUGAUGAUAUAGCAAUUACAUGAGGUAAAUUCACUCUCUUACAAUUGAGUAGAAACUAAGAUUAUCUGCUGCAUUUAGGCAGUCUACUGCUACCCUUCGAAUCUUGAACCUUCUAUAUCUGUGUGUAUCAAUACACUGCAUAUGCAGCAGUCUCUGGCAAAUUAACAUACUUCAAAAGCAAAUCUAAUUUUAGAAAUUUGUCUUAUGUUGAUUUUAUUUUCAAUUAAGUAAACGUGCUGUCAAGUGAAAUGACAAGGUCUUUACUGUUUAUCUUUUUGGUGAACUUGGAGUAUUUUUUUUUUAAAAAUUCUUGUGCUUUUAUUUUAGUUCUCUGCAAGAAGGAAGCACUAAGCAUCAUAUAGUUGCGGUAGCUUUAUGGUGUGAUAACCACGAGAUUCAGUGCCUUGUUCAGUUGUACCUCAUUCAAUAUCUGAUGGAGGACCACUGCAGGAGGAAGAGGGAAGGAGGAGGAAGAAGAGAAAGAGAGGAGGAAAAGAUAAGAAGAAGAAGGAGGUUAGGAUUUUUAUUCAAUCAUUCAAUAUCCCAAUUCAUGAGAGGGGUGGCCUUUAUAUAGACCUUACAUCAUGAAUUGACCAAGUCAAUUAAUUGACAACUAACCAAACUUGGACCCUUCAAUCAACUGACUAAGUCAAUUAAUUGAUGACAUACCAAAAUCGAUCCAAUCACUCGACCCAAUACAUGACUCAAUUGACUUGAUUAAUAACAAAACAACUGAUCAAAUUGAUUUGACUAAAACAAAAGCAAAUAGUGCAAUAAAAUAAAAGUAACUCAGACUCAAAUGGAUCCAAUCUAGGUCUGACUCAAUCGGGUAGCUCAAGAUCAUCUUCGAGCCAUAAUGAUGUCAAUCCCUGGUGCGAACGUGAGCGAACGACUCUGAUGGCUCGAUCGCCUGAUCGAAUGGCUCUGAUGUCCCCA